GACGAACGCUGGCGGCGUGCUUAACACAUGCAAGUCGAACGAAAAGAGGGUAAGAGCUUGCUCUUUCCGGAAUUGAGUGGCAAACGGGUGAGUAACACGAACACAACCUGCCUUCAGGAUAGGUACAACAGACUGAAACGAAUGCUAAUACCGAAUACCUUCCACGGGCCGCGUGGUGCAUAGAAGAAAAGGUGGCCUCUACAUGUACGCUAUCGCCUGUAGAGGGGUUUGCGUCGGAUUAGCAGGGUGGAGGGGUAUCGCCGCACGAAGGCGAGGAUCAGUAGCCGGUCGGAUAUGACGAGUGGCCACACUGGGAUGGUGACACGGCCCAGAGGCCUUCGGGAGGCAGCAGUGGGGAAUCGUCCGCAAGCGGCGAGAGCCUGACGGAGCAGCGCCGCGUGAGUGAGGACGACCGUCGGGUGGGAGAUCUCGGUGUUCCGGGAGGAAAAGGCAUAGGGCGAAGAACAAACGGCAGUGACGGUACCGGAAAAGCAAGCCACGGCUAACUACGUG
rnacentral:rRNA from 1 species